ensembl:lncRNA
CACCUUUUAACCCAACAGCCGACACCCAAGGUUUUGUGGGUUUGACGACGCGGAGGUCCUGACGGAUGGAAGCACUAACCCGAGGGGAACGCACACGUGCUCAUCUUUCAGGUUGCAAAAGAUCUGCAGUUGUCUAUCGCCCACCGUCGCCACUCGUCUGGAUUGUUGGUUUGGCUGCCAACUCCCACACGCCGGGACGCUGACCGCUCUUCUGGAUCCACAUGUGUGAAUGUACAGUAAAGGAUAACUGGACGUUCGGACAAUUAAAACGCCCAGCAGAGCAUUAACCUUUUCCUGUCUCAUUGUUGCAUUUGCGUUCAGAACACCACCCUAACCAUACCGAUGCUUAACGUAGAACCCAAAAGGCGAUGAGGUCGUCUGAGAACGACGAUGCUCCAAGGCGCUUUGCUGGGCAUCAGACACGGUCAGAAAUAAUUUUAUUACAUGAUUACACUGUAU